UACAGGGGGGGCAAGCGUUGUUCGGAAUUACUGGGCGUAAGGGGCUCGUAGGCGGCCAACUAAGUCCGACGUGAAAUCCCAAAGCUUAACUUUGGAACUGCGUCGGAUACUGGAUGGCUUGAAUUCGGGAGAGGGAUGCAGAAUUCCAGGUGUAGCGGUGAAAUGCGUAGAUAUCUGGAGGAAUACCGGUGGCGAAGGCGGCAUCCUGGACCGACAUUGACGCUGAGGAGCGAAAGCUAGGGGAGCAAACGGG
rnacentral:rRNA from 1 species